UUGAGGAAUAAGCCACGGCUAAUUCCGUGCCAGCAGCCGCGGUAAUACGGGAGUGGCAAGCGUUAUCCGGAAUUAUUGGGCGUAAAGCGUCCGCAGGCGGCCUUGUAAGUCUGUCGUUAAAGCGUGGAGCUUAACUCCAUUUCAGCGAUGGAAACUACAAGGCUUGAGUGUGGUAGGGGCAGAGGGAAUUCCCGGUGUAGCGGUGAAAUGCGUAGAUAUCGGGAAGAACACCAGUGGCGAAGGCGCUCUGCUGGGCCAUAACUGACGCUCAUGGACGAAAGCCAGGGGAGCGAAAGGGAUUAGAUACCCCUGUAGUCCUGGCCGUAAACGAUGAACACUAGGUGUCGGGGGAAUCGACCCCCUCGGUGUCGUAGCUAACGCGUUAAGUGUUCCGCCUGGGGAGUACGCACGCAAGUGUGAAACUCAAAGGAAUUGACGGGGGCCCGCACAAGCGGUGGAGUAUGUGGUUUAAUUCGAUGCAACGCGAAGAACCUUACCAGGGUUUGACAUCCUGCGAAUCCCUUGGAAACGAGGGAGUGCCUUCGGGAGCGCAGAGACAGGUGGUGCAUGGCUGUCGUCAGCUCGUGUCGUGAGAUGUUGGGUUAAGUCCCGCAACGAGCGCAACCCACGUCUUUAGUUGCCAGCAUUCAGUUGGGCACUCUAGAGAGACCGCCGGUGAUAAACCGGAGGAAGGUGUGGAUGACGUCGAGUCAUCAUGCCCCUUACAUCCUGGGCUACACACGUACUACAAUGCUACGGACAAAGGGUUGCAAGCUCGCGAGAGUUAGCUAAUCCCAUAAACCGUGGCUCAGUUCAGAUCGUAGGCUGCAACUCGCCUACGUGAAGGAGGAAUCGCUAGUAAUCGCAGGUCAACAUACUGCGGUGAAUACCUUCCCGGGCCUUGUACACACCGCCCGUCACACCAUGGAAGUUGGCCAUGCCCGAACUCGUUACUCCAACCCUUGUGGAGGAGGACGCCGAAGGUGGGGCUGAUGACUGGGGUGAAGUCGUAACAAGGUAGCCGUACCGGAAGGUGCGGCUGGAUCACCUCCUAACAGGGAGACACAACUGAUCGUGAUGUCUGAGCGCCGACCAAGCGUAAGUUUGGGGAGCACCUUU
rnacentral:misc_RNA from 1 species